rnacentral:hammerhead_ribozyme from 1 species
AUCCAGCUGACGAGUCCUAAAUAGAACGAAAAGUCGCGCGUCCUGGAU